rnacentral:rRNA from 1 species
AAGGGCAGCCGGGAGGGAUGGGAGGCUUUGCCUGCUAUCUACUCUACGCACAUCGUCUGUUUGAGUACCUUACGUUUCCUCGGCGGGUCCGCCCGCCGAUUGGACAAUUUAAACCAUUUGCAGUUGCAAUCAGCGUCUGAAAAAACUUAAUAGUUACAACUUUCAACAACGGAUCUCUUGGUUCUGGCAUCGAUGAAGAACGCAGCGAAAUGCGAUAAGUAGUGUGAAUUGCAGAAUUCAGUGAAUCAUCGAAUCUUUGAACGCACAUUGCGCCCCUUGGUAUUCCAUGGGGCAUGCCUGUUCGAGCGUCAUUUGUACCUUCAAGCUCUGCUUGGUGUUGGGUGUUUGUCUCGCCUCUGCGUGUAGACUCGCCUCAAAACAAUUGGCAGCCGGCGUAUUGAUUUCGGAGCGCAGUACAUCUCGCGCUUUGCACUCAUAACGACGACGUCCAAAAGUACAUUUUUACACUCUUGACCUCGGAUCAGGUAGGGAUACCCGCUGAACUUAAGCAUAUCAAUAAGCGGAGAGAAA